rnacentral:misc_RNA from 1 species
AUGUCAGCCAAUUCUACAUUGAGUCAUGUCGGGAUUGAUUCUGAUAAUGAAUCUGUUUACGAUCUGAUGUCUUCGUUGGAGCAUCGGAAGAAAGUCGAUGAUGAAUUUCAAUUAGUAUUUCAAAAAGCGCAGGAAGCUAUUAAUAAAGGAAUUCAACCAAGUUUGAUCCCCGAAGGCAGUUCUGGAUCUUAUUUUGUCUAUGGAUUGGAAGGAGAAAUUGUUGGAGUUUUCAAACCAAAAGACGAAGAGCCAUUCGCUUCUCUCAACCCAAAAUGGCCAAAGUUUUUUCAAAGAAUGCUCUGCUUUUGCUGCUUCGGACGUGCAUGCCUUAUCCCUAACACCGGAUACCUUUCUGAAGCCGCCGCUAGUAUUGUGAGCGAGAUGCUUCAGCUGGAUGUUGUUCCAACAACUCGAAUUGUGAAGCUCGCGUCUCCAUCAUUUUUCUAUUCUCGUUUCUUUGGUCAUUAUGAUGUUCGUCCGAAAGAGGGAAGUUUCCAACUUUAUGUCAAUGGCUAUGAGAGUGGAAAUACUGUUUUUGCUCGUUGGAAUUAUGACAAAAACUUGUUGAGUGAUGAGGAAGGAGCUAAUAUUUCAGGUUCCAACUUCUCUUCCAGAAAAUGUGCAUCGUCGACUACGUCAUCAGAAACACCGAUCGCCACAUGGAUAAUCUCCUAGUCAGACACGUUCCAGGAGAGGAGAUCAAUUUGGCUGCUAUCGACAAUGGAUUGGCAUUUCCAGUUAGACAUCCGGAAUGCACUUCAAGAUUCCGCUCAUUCCCGUUUCGUUGGUCCAAUCUUCCAUGGGCUCAAGGCGAGUUCGAUCCGGUUCUCCGUCGUCACGUGCUUUCACUGCUCACUCCGCAGUUUGUUCAUAGACUGUGCGUUGAUUUGAAGAAACUUUUCCGUCACGGAAUCGCUAGCUCCAACUACAUGCUUGUGAACAGCCAACUUCGUGUCGUUCGUGGACAAAUUUGGAAUCUCCGUCAGGCUAUUCUCGCAAACGAAUCGCCUGGUGAGAUGGCUUGUCGUGAUCCGAUUAUUGUCAGCCGAAGUUCAGACAUCGUAAUGAGCAACCCACCACCGCCUCGUGGGAUGAUUGGUUUAUUGUCAAGUCACCUAGCUACUCCAAACAACAACUCUUCUGAUGUUACCAUGAAAACCGCCAUUGAACACGAAAAAGAAAAUAGCACGGUUCCAGAAAAUCUUAUAACAUUGUAG